rnacentral:rRNA from 1 species
AUGCUAUCCAAGGCCAGCGAGGCUGGUCAUGUUAAGGGACUCGUUCCACACCUCAUCCCGGGUGGUGUGACCCAUCUACAAUAUGCAGACGAUACUUUGCUUUUGUUUAAGACCGACGACCAUAGCAUCGCCUCCAUUAAGCUUUUGUUAUUAGCCUUUGAGAUCCUGUCUGGACUCAAAAUUAAUUUUCUUAAAAGCGAGGUCAUCACCAUGGGGAUGGACGACCAUCAAAGUCGGCGUGCCGCAAAUCUACUUAAUUGUAAGCUUGGGAGCUUUCCAAUAAAGUAUCUGGGGCUUCCUAUAUCCCAUCGUAAGCUUUCGAUUUCAGAGUGGGAGCCGUUGUAUGGGAAGGUGGCCAAUAGGGUUAGCCCGUGGCGUGGGCGGUUUUUGUCUUCUGCGGCUAGGCUCAUUUUAACUAACUCGAGCCUCUCUUCCCUGCCCCUAUUCACAAUGGGGAUGUUCUUAUUAGCUGAUGGCGUGCACGCUAAGCUAGAUACACCGCGAUCCCGGUUCUUUUGGGAAGGAACUGGUAUCAAGCGGAAAUAUCACCUGGUAAAGUGGGCGGCUGUCUGUAGGCCAAAAAAAUUCGGAGGUUUGGGGAUCCUAAACUCCAAACUUAUGAACGUAGCCCUUCUGUCCAAAUGGUGGUGGCGGCUUGCCCAAAACGAGACGAGUCUCUGGGCUCAGCUGCUAAAGGCUAAGUACUUCCCAAAUGGGAAUCCUUUCAGUGCCCCGGCCAACGGCUCCGUGUUUUGGAAAGGGAUCCAAGCGGUCCGACCAGCGUUUGCUAUCGGGGCCAAAUUCCAGAUUCAAAAUGGACAAUCCACUCGCUUUUGGCUGGAUCAUUGGCUGGGAGCCUCUCCCCUUUGGCAAAGUCACCCCAAUCUUUUUCGGAUCGCUACUGACACCAACAUCUUAGUGGGAGAGGCAGCCCGUACUGACCCUCCAGCGAUCCAUUUUAUGAGGGCCCUUACCAAUGCCGAACGGGAGGCAUGGGACGACCUAGUGCAUCAAAUUGGUGACAACCGUAUAGGGCCGGGCGAAGAUUUGGUCGAAUGGAGCUUGACAGCGUCCCGAAAAUUUUCGGUUAAAUCUUUAUACAACAAGCUUACUGAAGGGACAUCGCUAGACAUAGCUAGGGGGCUAUGGAAGGCAGGCCUGCCCUUCAAAAUUAAAAUCUUCAUGUGGCAAAUGCUCAGAAAUAGGCUGCCCACGUCGGAUAAUGUGGCAAAACGUAACGGUCCGGCUGACGGUACCUGCACUGUGUGCGGUCUAGGUGAAGAUGCUAACCACGUCUUUUUUAGAUGUCACCUAGCCAGGUUCGCGUGGAGUGCAGUUAGGGAAGCCUUCCACUCGAACUUGAACCCAGCCUCGGGGAACGACUUGAUUGCCAUCCUUAAAACCACGAGAGGGACUAGUAGUAGAAUCGCUUGGCGUUGCGUAGGGGCGCUACUGUGGGCUAUUUGGACAACGCGCAAUAAAAUUACGAUUGAGAAAAAAUUUCCUAAUCACCCUGCGGAUGUGAUCUUCAAAUGUCACCUUUUCUUACAGACUUGGACUCCGCUGGGGAAGGAGCGCGAUGCUGAGCGCAUGUCAGAGGCCAUGGCGCGAAUCAUGACUAUCCAGGUGACGGCAAGACAAGACUCGAUGAUUCGAUGA